GAUGAACGCACAAGACGUGCCUAACACAUGCAAAUCGAAUGAACCCAAUAAUUAAUUAUUGGGUUCAUGGUGAACGGGCGAGUAACACAUAAGAAUCAGCUUUUAGAUAAGGCAUAAAAGAGUAAUAUCUUGGUAAUUCCUUAUAUGCGCAGCAGUGCUUAAAAAGGGGACUCCCGUCUAAAAACGAGCUUAUGCCUGAUUAGCUAGUUGGCGAGUUAAAAGCUCACCAAGGCGAAGAUCAGUAGCUGGCCUGAGAGGGCGGCCAGCCACAUUGGGACUG
rnacentral:rRNA from 1 species